UACCUCGCUGAUCGGAAGGGUUUCCUUCCGGUCAACGAGGUACAUGUACCUCAUCGACUGGAAGGAAAGCCUUCCGGUCAAUGAGGUA
rnacentral:miRNA from 1 species